AUUGAACGCUGGCGGCAUGCUUUACACAUGCAAGUCGAACGAGUGGCGAACGGGUGAGUAAUGCCUGGGAAAGUACCGGAUAGAGGGGGAUAACUGUCCGAAAGGACAGCUAAUACCGCAUAUCAUUCGAGAGGCCCAUGUGUGAUUAGCUUGUUGGUGGGGUAAAGGCCCACCAAGGCGACGCUCCGUAGCGGGUCUGAGAGGAUGACCCGCCACACUGUAACUGAGACACGGCCCAGACUCCUACGGGAGGCAGCAGUGGGGAAUUUUGGACAAUGGGAGCAAGCCUGAUCCAGCCAUGCCGCGUGUGUGAAGAAGGCCUUCGGGUUGUAAAGUACUUUUGGCAGGGAGGCGUUACCUGAAGAAGAAGCACCGGCUAACUACGUGCCAGCAGCCGCGGUAAUAC
rnacentral:rRNA from 1 species